UGGGGUCUUACAUUAAAUUCCUUUAGACAACACUUGGUCUAAAAAAUAAGAUUACAAAUAUAGAUGUCUAAUGAUCAAAGCAAAUAAUCAAUUUAACAAUGCAAGGCUAGACUAAUGUAUGCAAUGAUCAAAGAGUAAAAAGAGAUAUCACCAAUUUUUAGCUCACAAAAAUUAGCUGAAAAAUAAUUUGAAUAUUAAUUGCACAGCAGCCAAGAUAUUGCACAAAGAAUAAUAGAAUAACUUUUCAAGUAUGAUAGUGCAAAAAAUUAUUUGUGUGUUUUGUUAAUAGCACUGAUAUCUCAGUUAUUUUUAUAGCCCAAAGAUAUUAUUGUUGCUCUCCAUAAAAACAAAUCAGUUCCGUUAAAAACAAUCCAAAUAUAUUCCCGUUAAAACCAAUUUGGAUAGAUAGAUAUAUAACCAAUUUGGAUAGAUAGAUAUAUAACUAAUUUAAAGCUGCCGCCACAAGUCAUAUAUAUCAAUUCCAAAAUAAAUGUAAAGGAGAGAUAAUACUGCUUUUGAAAUAGAGUAAACUAACUUAGAAAUAUUAUCAGAGUGUUAGUUUCGUAAUUAUUAACAAGUGUAUCAUAAACCAACUUACUUAGGAUAAACAUAAUAUACAAUUUUCGAGAUGUAAGCAAGUAAGCCACUAAAUAAUAGUAAUCAUUAUACUGUCGUCUUUCUCAAAACAACUUCCAAUAUGCACUAUACAGAUCCACAAUAAAAUUUUAUACGUGUACAUGCAUAUAUCCCAUUAAAUUAGGAUACCCUUGGAAAUCUAAACAAUCAGUUGAAUUAAUCAAAGACUUUAGUAAUACCCAUAUGUGCUAAUUACUUAAUUAAUUAAUUUUGUAAUUCCCGAACAAUAAAAAAUAGUUAACAUUUCAUUUCAAUUUUAAGCAUGCAUUAAAUACUAAUUAUAUUAAACACACACAUAAAAUGUCCUAGAGCCUUGAAUUGAAAAAUUAAAUAUUUGCAAUGACCUUACAUUAAUUUCUUAGGACACAGAUGUCUUUAAAGCCUUUCAUCAAUGAACCUUUUAUCAACUUCCUGAAAUUUCACAAUAAAUAAUUUAGUACAAAAUAUGAAGUCAUCAUCAAAACAAUAAGGUUAGAAUAUAACAAGUCGACAAAUAUUUACCAAAAAUUACUUAUCUUUAAUCAACACAUCUUUAAUCUUUCAACAAUUUUUCAUCAUUUAAUAUUAUAACUCAUAAUAUUGACAACCAGAUCGUUCCCAGAAAAAAGGGGACUUUCCGAUAAGAUUUUCUUCUUAUUGGCGCGCAAUUAAAUAACCAAACCCCUUUCCUCGACAAAACUUUCUAGACAUUGUCAAUAAUGCAAAUAAUAAUAUAAAUAAUUAUAUCUUCUUAAUUAUUAAUUUAAUAAUAUAAAAUAUUGUGCAGAUGAUACUGUGACAAUAAUUGAACAAAACUGAGUGACUUCUUACGUAAGCAUCAAUAAUCAGAGAUACUAUGCAAUACCGUGUGCUACUGUGCAACAACGCGUAUUACAGUUCUUUUAUCACCGGAUAUUUCAACAGUUUAACGGUAAAAAGUCAUGUCGUUAUUUUCAUAAAAAGGUUAUUUUGUCGUUUUUUAUAUCCGAAAGUUAUUCCGUUAUGUGGUCCACCAAUGAUUGCGUCGUCGUACGAAUAUUUUCCGACAAAAAGAAUAUUCCCCGACUAAACGAAUAUUUUAUGACCACAUGCUUACUUUGCAAACUUUUCACAUAUCACCAUUAACUUUAACCUUUUAUCAAUUUAACCAUUUAUUGAAUAGAAUAAUAUUUAUAAGAAAAUUGAAUACUUUUAUUUUAUAAAAUUCGAGGUCUUACAUAAAAUUAAAGAAUGAUAUUCAUGUAUCAAAAAUAAUUUGGACAGAGAAGAAAAUUAAAUUCCGUUGUGAACAGUAUUUAUGAAUAGCAUCGUAUGGAUAAUACUCAUGAAUAGUACCAUAUAAAUAGUACUCGUGAAUAGUAUCGUAUGAAUAGUACCCGAAUGAAUAGUACCCCGUGAAUAGUACUUGAAUAAAUAGUAUCCGAGUGAAUAGUACCCCGAAUAAAAAUAUUAAAAUUUAAUAAGAAAGUUCAGACCAAUAUUCCAAUGAAACGAUACUAGAUGAAUCGCAAAAUUCAAGGAUAUUCUACUAAUUUCAGGGAUUAUAGAAGCAAUACUUAUCAAAAUAAGUGUAGAUUUAAGAAUAUGAAACGAAAUAAUAUCAUUUACAUACUAUAGAGUAUGGAAGAAAAUAAUAUUCCUUACGAAUAUUGAACGAAAAUAAUAUCUCUUACGAGUACAAAAGAAAUGAUAUCCCAUACAAGUAUGAAAGAAUACACGAAGCUGCAAAUGAAUUUUCACUCGUUAUGCGGUAAUCCGCGUAGACAGAUCAUUUUCACAAUUUAAUAAAGAAUGAAUACGAAGGGUUAUUCACCAUGCACACGGUAAUCCGCGUAAACAGGUUACUCCCGCGGAUUAAUAAAGAAUGAAUACGAAGGGUUAUUCACCAUGCAUGCGAUAAUUCGCGUAGACAAGUUACUCUCGCAGAUUAAUAAAGAAUAGAAUGACAACCUUUAUGAAUAUGACGAAAAUAACAUCCUUUACGAAUACAAAAGAAAUAAUACUGUUGGGAGAGUGCAUAUGUUGAUUUGAUGUUUAAAUGUAAAUGAUCAUGAUUAUAUGUAAAUUCCUUCAAGAGAUAUAUGUACAAGGACUUAGUGAUAGAUCAAAUUUGUUAGGUUGAUCUACUUCUUGAAAUGUAAUAGAUAGGCUUCAACAAGAAUCGUAGUGUAUCAAGUUGUUCAAGAUUACAGAAGCCAAGGCAGAAACGUAGAGCUCAGAGGAUCGUAGUGUGCCUGCCUUGAAGGACCUCUUUGGGAAUCGUAGAGUGGUCCCAACGUUUCCCGAACCAACUCAGAGAUCGUAGUGUGCUCUCGGAAACGUAGAGCUUGUAAUAACAAGCAAGUGAAGAUCGUAGUGUGCAAGUCUUUUAAGAGAAAUCGUAGUGCUCUUGUUUGAUAGCAUCAGACCAAGCACCAAGGUGACAAGACACCACGAUCUGGAUCGUAGAGUAUCAUCUGCCUUGUGUCAGAAACAUCGAGACCUACCUUUUGUUUGGAGACAAACUCCAACAAAUGUGGAAUGGGUUUUAAACGUUGAAGUCCUCAUCAGUCCCAACGGUACAAAAGAUAUCCUUAGUAUAUAACAAAAGAAACGUAUUCAAGAAGCUAAGGAAAGGACCAUAGGACAGAGGAAAACACCUUUUCAGGUGUUAAGUGAGAAAGCAGUCUGCUAUGUCAGUGGGCCAGGAUGCAAUUCAGAAGAUGUGCAAAAAAGUCUUCAUCAAAGAUCAGAAAUGUCAAACGCAUUUAAUGCUUCAACAAAAGGCUUCAACGGAUAGAUUUCGAGGAUCACAUAUAUACAAAACAUAUACAGAUGAGAGAAUUAAGCAAUCAUUGAACAAAACGUACAUGAACUCUCAACGCUCAACUCUACGAUCUGAGAAAAAGAGAAAGCUUACUCAGCUACUCAGUUCUUUCGAACAAGUGCUUAACAGCAACUGUGUAGCAACUACCAAGAACUCAAACAACGACCAAUCAACUGAAGUAAGAAGUUCCAAGUCAGAAGGACUUGAAGAGUUCUAAGUGAACUGUGAAGAACCAAGUCUGCUGGACUUGAAGAGUUCAAGAGUGAACUAAGAAGUUCCUAGACUGUUGGUCUAGAAGGAAUCUGUAAGAUUCAGAAAAGUGUAGAAGACAUCCUUAGUGAAUUUCCUACUCGAGGAGUAGAAGAGUGGACUAGGAGCUUUAAAUGCUCUGAACCACUUAAAACAACUGUGUCUAUUACAUUCUUGCUAUAACUGAUAUAUCUGCCAUAACUGCUAUAACUGCCUCACUCUCAUAAAUUCAUUAUAUCUUAAGGAAGAUUAAAACAAAUAUCAAUUCCGUUGUGUUUCAAUCAUUAUCAACUAACAAGUUAAAACGAAAAGAUUUUUAAAUAUCUAUUCAACCCACCCCCCUUCUAGAUAACUAUUGUGCCUCUGAAAACUAACAAAUACCCCUUACCUUAGUAGGAGACUAAAUCUGACUAGUAUAACGAAGAUAUUCUUGAGGAAAACUUGCACUAUUUGUUACACUCAAAGUAUCCUUAUACUCAAGAGAAAUACGCACAAUACUAUAGAAGAAGAUUUCUCUGAUUCUGGUGUGAUUUUCAUUUCUUAACUAAGUAUCCUAUUUAUAGGAGAAUGGCAGGACACUAUUUAAAUAUAAUCACGGGUGAACAGAAGAAAAAAUUCACGGGCGUUCGGCGAGAAAUGUAAUUUUUACUAUUCAUUACUGUGCAAUAAAAUAUUCUAAUAAAACAAAAAUUUUAUAUAAAAUAUAAUAUAUUCUAAUUAUAAUCUAAUAAAAUAAAUAACUUUAUAUAUAAGAUAAAAAAUAUUUUGUUUUAUAUAAAAAGUUUUUUGUUUUAUUACUAUUAUAAUAAUAAUAAAACAAAACUGAGACAACUUUCUACCGGCGAUUUUGAAAAAUGAGUAAGUGAGGGUCCAUGUAAUAAGUCAAACUUGCAACAAAUACUUCAUGACAACCCUUAUAUUUAUAUCAAAAAUUGAAUAAAUAUUUACCACAAAUCACUUAUCUUCAAUCAAUACAUUUUUAAUCUUCCAACAAUUAUUCAUCAUUAAUUUUAUAACUCACAAUAUUGACAACCAGAUCAUUUCCAAGAAAGAGGGGGCUUUCCGAUAAGGAUUUCUCCUUAUUGGCGCGUAAUUAAAUAACCAAACUCCUUUUCUCGAUAGAACUUUCUAGACAUUAUCAAUAAUGCAAAUAAUAUUGAUCAACGAAAAACAUGCAUAACCGAAAAUACGCUUUAACAAUUAAAGGAAUUCCCUAGCUUACUUAGCCCCAUUUCACUUAAAUUUUCUGGGCGUGUAACAAAAAAAUACUUAGCCUCCACAAUUAAUAGUAGCAGGCACUUAUCAGAAUGAUUUUUACUUUACUAAUAAAUGUUUAUUAACAAGGGUUUAAAGUUUAUAAACCAAGGUUUAAGGUUUAUUAACCACGCCUUAAUUAAUAAACCCUAAAACCUAGUUUAUAAACCCUAACCCCCUUGUUAAUAAACCUUAAACCCUUAUCCUGAUUAAGUUUUGCUACUAAUAGUAGCGGACGCUAAGUGUUUUUUUUACGGUUCGUUACUAUUAGUAGCGGAUGUAAAUUUUUUAACUUCUAAUCCUGACCAUUCCUUCUUAUUUUCAAUAAUAUCAAUGGAGUAUACCUAUGAGAAUUCAUAGCAAAUACAUCAUCUUCAUCAACCAACAACCAUCAUCGUUGAUCAAUAUCAUUAAAAGCUAAGAUUUAAAAAAAAAAUUCCAACCGCUACAAGCUGUAGCGGCAGUGACAACAACUUAUAUAUGCAACUAUUUUACUAAAGGGACCCACCUAGUCAAACUAAUUCACUAAAGGGUCCCACUUGGUGGGAUACAUUUUCAGAAGAGAAUUUAUUUUCAUCUCAUAUGUGUCGCUACAACUUGUAACGGUUGUGCAUUUUUUUAGCUCCUCGGGAAUUAAAGUUCAUAUGUGAAAAAGUAUCUAACAUGUGAUAAAGUAUUUGACCUCGGGAAUUGGCAUUGCAGGUGUGUUUUUCAAAGUUCACGCUGCUACAAGUUGUAGAGGCUAUUUUCUCCAAAUUUUUUUGCCCUUCUUUUUUCCAUUCCUUUCUCCAUUAUUUCCGCUACAAGUUUCACAUUCACAUAAACCAACAUAAACAUAAGAGAGAAAUAAGGGGAAAGAAGAGAGAAAGAAGAGGAAAGAUCUUUGCACACUAAAUUUUGUCAGAUCUACUCGAAUAUAUUUGUAAGAUUUUUUUACUGUUUUUUUAAAUAAAUAUAUAUUGUCAUUGUUUUUGAAAGUUUUAUUUUAUGCAAAUUUUAUUUUAUUUUAUCGACCUACAAUUUCAAAAAUAAUGACAAAAUGUAGUGUGCAAAGAUCUUUCCUCUUCUUUCUCCGUCUUUAUCUCUUAUUUUUCUCUUAUGUUUAUGUUGGUUGCUUUGAAUAUGAAAAUUGUAGCGGAAAUAAAUAGGGAAAGGAAUGGAAAAAGGAAAGGCAAAAAGAGAAGAUAGUCGCUACAACUUGUAGCGGCGUGAACUUUCAAAACCCCACCUAUAAUGUUAAUUCCCGAGGUUAGAUAAUUUAUCACAUGUCAUAUACUUUUUCACAUGUGAACUUUCAUUCCCGAGAAGCUAAAAAAAAUGACCAGUCGACUGGCACAUAUGAGACGAAAAUAAAUUCCCUUCUGAAAAUGAUUCUAACCAAUCUGACCAAGUGAGAACCUUUAGUGAAUUAAUUUGACAUGGGUCCCUUUAGUAAAAUAGUUUUCGGUACAAGUUUUUGUCAUUGCCGCUACAAUUUGGCUGAGUUUUUUUUAAAUUUUUUUUAACAUUUAAUAAUAUUGAUCAACGAUGGAGAUAAUGGUUGUUGGAAUAGUAACCUAACAACCGGUUGCCAUGGAUUGUAACCCGUAUAUAUAUAUAUAUAUAUAUAUAUAUAUGUGUGUGUGUGUGUGUGUGUGUGUGUGUGUGAGAGAGAGUUUCUUAAUUUUCAUAAGAUAGAUAAUACAUGCAUUCAAAAUAAAUAAAAUAAAAAAAGAUCAUAAUACAACAAAUUUUUUUCUACAAAGUUUUCUAAUGUUUUUAUUUCCCUCUUUAUUAUUAAGUACUUCCCAUUAUAUAUUAUUUUUAUUAAUAAUAUAUAUGUAGGGAUGUUCAUCGGUAAAUUAUUGUACCAAAUCAAAUCUAUUCAAUUUUGGCUACCGAUAUUGGUACCGAUUGGACUGGUAUACCGAACCGGUUAGCUGAUCUGAAACCGUUGCAAUGCCAGUUUUUAUCUAAUUUUAUACCGGUUGUCAAUAAAGUCAGAACUUCGUUCCACUGGUCAUAAACUUUUUCUGACCACACAAUCACAAUUUUUACAAUCCAACCAAAACCAACUCUUACAAAACCUUCUACAAAUUCAUUUUCUUCUUCUACAAAAAACCAUCACAAACAAAAACAACAAUUAUCACUACAACUGAUCAAAUCAACAAUAUGUCAUUACAAUAAGUUAAAAAAAACAAUAAAUAAGCACAAAAUUGCCAUUAUAAGAGAAAAGGUUAAAACUUAGAUCCAAUUACUGGAGCAAAUUUUUUCCUGUAACAUGCAAGUAGAAAAAUUAAGAAUGUGAGCUAACAAUCAACUUUUAUGAGGUUAACAAAUAAACCCUAAAACUGGCAAAACCCCAAGUAAAUUAAGAACUAAAUAAAGUUUAAACUAGCAAAUCAAUAUGCAAGCAACACAAAAUUAAAAACUCAUAUAAAAGAAAAAGAUAAACAUGACUUGAAGAUAAAAAAGAAAUGAACAAGGAGUAAUUGUAGAAUAACUAGAAAUGAUCUAAACAAUGGAACGAAAUCUAAACAAAUAAAAAAGAAAACUCCCAAAACAGAGCAUAGGCUACAUAAUAGAUUUUGGAAUGGGAACAUACCUAUCUAUAAGGACGUCGACGACGAAAAUCGAGUCAGAUGCACUUAAUUUUUAGUCUUAAUUUGGGGGGAGGUGAGAUGAGAGAGAAGAAGAUAAAUUGAAGGGAGGGGUAAUUAGUGAAAGCCAUAGGUAAUUAGAUAUUGUCUGGAUGAUGGAUGACAUCAUGAGAGAAUAGAAGCAGGUGCGACGAUGGAGAGAAAGGUAGAGAUGGAUUCAAGAUGGAGAGAAAUUGAAAAGUGAGAAAGGUGCAGAGCAAAUAGGAAUAAAAUUAAUAGAUCUGUAACUGGUAUAACCGACUCGGUUCGGUUAUAUACUGAACGAGUCAAAC
rnacentral:lncRNA from 1 species